rnacentral:rRNA from 1 species
UACGGGGGGGGUAAGCGUUGUUCGGAAUUACUGGGCGUAAAGGGCUCGUAGGCGGCCAACUAAGUCAUACGUGAAAUCCCUCAGCUUAACUGGGGAACUGCGUGUGAUACUGGAUGGCUUGGAUUUGGGAGAGGGAUGCGGAAUUCCAGGUGUAGCGGUGAAAUGCGUAGAUAUCUGGAGGAACACCGGUGGCGAAGGCGGCAUCCUGGACCAUUACUGACGCUGAUGAGCGAAAGCCAGGGGAGCAAACGGG